rnacentral:rRNA from 1 species
GAUGAACGCUAGCGGGAGGCCUAACACAUGCAAGCCGAGCGGUAUUGUUUCUUCGGAAAUGAGAGAGCGGCUUACGGGUGCGUAACACGUGUGCAACCUGCCUUUAUCUGGGGGAUAGCCUUUCGAAAGGAAGAUUAAUACUCCAUAAUAUAUUGAACGGCAUCGUUUAAUAUUGAAAGCUCCGGCGGAUAGAGAUGGGCGCGCGCAAGAUUAGCUAGUUGGUGAGGUAACGGCUCACCAAGGCGAUGACCUUUAGGGGGCCUGAGAGGGUGAUCCCCCACACUGGUACUGAGACACGGACCAGACUCCUACGGGAGGCAGCAGUGAGGAAUAUUGGUCAAUGGGUGCAAGCCUGAACCAGCCAUCCCGCGUGAAGGACGACUGCCCUAUGGGUUGUAAACUUCUUUUGUAUAGGGAUAAACCUACCCUCGUGAGGGUAGCUGAAGGUACUAUACGAAUAAGCACCGGCUAACUCCGUGCCAGCAGCCGCAGUAA